rnacentral:rRNA from 1 species
AUUGAACGCUGGCGGCAGGCCUAACACAUGCAAGUCGAACGGUAGCACAGAGGAGCUUGCUCCUUGGGUGACGAGUGGCGGACGGGUGAGUAAUGUCUGGGAAACUGCCCGAUGGAGGGGGAUAACUACUGGAAACGGUAGCUAAUACCGCAUAACGUCGCAAGACCAAAGAGGGGGACCUUCGGGCCUCUUGCCAUCGGAUGUGCCCAGAUGGGAUUAGCUAGUAGGUGGGGUAACGGCUCACCUAGGCGACGAUCCCUAGCUGGUCUGAGAGGAUGACCAGCCACACUGGAACUGAGACACGGUCCAGACUCCUACGGGAGGCAGCAGUGGGGAAUAUUGCACAAUGGGCGCAAGCCUGAUGCAGCCAUGCCGCGUGUAUGAAGAAGGCCUUCGGGUUGUAAAGUACUUUCAGCGAGGAGGAAGGCGUUGCGGUUAAUAACCGGAACGAUUGACGUUACCCGCAAGAAGAAGCACCGGCUAACUCCGUGCC